rnacentral:rRNA from 1 species
GAUGAACGCUGGCGGCGUGCCUAAUACAUGCAAGUCGAGCGAACAGAUGAGGAGCUUGCUCCUCUGGCGUUAGCGGCGGACGGGUGAGUAACACGUGGAUAACCUACCUAUAAGACUGGGAUAACUUCGGGAAACCGGAGCUAAUACCGGAUAAUAUAUUGAACCGCAUGGUUCAAUAGUGAAAGACGGUUUUGCUGUCACUUAUAGAUGGAUCCGCGCCGCAUUAGCUAGUUGGUAAGGUAACGGCUUACCAAGGCAACGAUGCGUAGCCGACCUGAGAGGAUGAUCGGCCACACUGGAACUGAGACACGGUCCAGACUCCUACGGGAGGCAGCAGUAGGGAAUCUUCCGCAAUGGGCGAAAGCCUGACGGAGCAACGCCGCGUGAGUGAUGAAGGUCUUCGGAUCGUAAAGCUCUGUUAUUAGGGAAGAACAAAUGUGUAAGUAACUAUGCACGUCUUGACGGUACCUAAUCAGAAAGCCACGGCUAACUACGUG